UACGUAGGGUGCGAGCGUGAAUCGGAAUUACUGGGCGUAAAGCGUGCGCAGGCGGUGGCUCAAGCCAGGCGUGAAAUCCCCGGGCUUAACCUGGGAAUGGCGUUUGGGACUGGGUCGCUAGAGUGUGGCAGAGGGAGGUGGAAUUCCACGUGUAGCAGUGAAAUGCGUAGAGAUGUGGAGGAACACCGAUGGCGAAGGCAGCCUCCUGGGCCAGCACUGACGCUCAUGCACGAAAGCGUGGGGAGCGAACAGG
rnacentral:rRNA from 1 species